rnacentral:ncRNA from 1 species
UCGCGGGUGACCGCGAAUCUGAAGGAAGCCCGAGGCAAAAUGCUGGCCUGACGUACAGGAAGCGGAUAGAGGCGUCGUAGUGGGGUGAGGUCGCAAUGACAGCCAAAGCCCAAUACGAAACAGCCCGUGUCCAUGUGGUAGCGGGUCACCGUUGGUGCGUGGAAC